CUUGGUCUGGUAUUCCGUGACAGAGCAAUGAAUCACCAUUGAAAACUAUUAGCGUAAAUUGCCCCUUUCUUCGUAUUGUUUUUCACUAAAAAUUAAACUCAGUUCAGUUGGUGAAAGCUUAAAUACAUAAAAAUCAACAUUGCGUAUACUUUCGUAGUUUAUUACACAACAUCCUCAUUGUUAACUUCACUCAAGCGCUCUUUCUAUUUUGUUAUAAUGGAAGUGUCAUUGUCUAUGUCCAUUGCAUCAAUAUUUUACACCAUGUUUUGUAGUUUGAAGUGCACGUCAUCCCUUAUGUGGAUAUGCAGCCCAUGUUGAUAUCUUGUGAGACGGAAAUCUUCAAAUAUAAUAACUUGACACAUUAAACGGAUACGCGUGGCAUGUAUUUUAGAACAACACAAAGAACCUAUGUCUCCACUGACGGCGAUGUUCGGUAUAAAAAUAUAUUGAUUGACAGGAGCAGUUCAGUUGCUCUGCUCUGUAUAGAAUUAUGAUAAGAACACGUUUUGUCCAACAAAUACCUUCUGUGUUGAAUAAUGUUGGCUUUACCAUAGUCUAAUAUAAUGUCGUGU
rnacentral:lncRNA from 1 species